UGGCCAUCAGAGCAAUGGUAACAAUGGACAACCAGCAACAGCAUCAGGUGGCACUGUGGCUGGAGCCAGUGAUGUGGUCUAUGCUGACAUCAAGCUGAAAGAAAAAGGUGCCAAGAAGAACAAAGAGGAGAAAGCCAAGACCAGUGCAACCCAGUCUGACACCCUGUAUUCUACCUUAAAGCCAUUGAAGACUACAGAUAACAGUGAAGAUGAUGAUGACCCCAAUGAUGAUGUGACAUAUUCAGAGGUUACCAUCAAGAACAAGAAGGGAAAGAAACAAGGUUCUGCUGGUCCCAGUGAUGUCACAUACGCUGAUGUGCA